GACGAAGGAUGCAAGCGUUAUCCGGAUUCAUUGGGUUUAAAGGGCGCGUAGGCGGCCUUGUAAGUCAGUGGUGAAAUCUCGCAGCUUAACUGCGAAACUGCCAUUGAUACUGCAGGGCUUGAGUACAGAUGCUGUGGGCGGAAUAUGACAUGUAGUGGUGAAAUACAUAGAGAUGUCAUAGAACACCGAUUGCGAAGGCAGCUCACAAAACUGUAACUGACGCUGAGGCUCGAAAGUGUGGGGAUCAAACAGG
rnacentral:rRNA from 1 species